GUCACCUGAUACCUGCACCCACAGCAUGCUGGAACAGGAAACCAGUGUGACAUAGCCCACACUCCAUGCCGCCCAUGUCCUCCCCUCCACCUACCCUCUUUGACCUCCCUCUAACUCUAGUGAGGGUAACUGACAUCAGACAUGGAGACUGGCCUGCAGGGAGAAAUUGGUCUCAGCGCUGGAAAAGAGAUACGUUGUGGCUUUUUUUUAUUUUCUGUUUUCAUUUGGGGAGGACCAGAC